CCUACGGGUGGCAGCAGUGGGGGAUAUUGGACAAUGGGCGGAACCCUGAUCCAGCGACGCCGCGUGAGUGAAGAAGUCUUUCGGUUUGUAAAGCUCUGUCAGCAGGGAAGAAUGAAAUGACGGAACCUGACCAAGAAGCCCGGGUUAAUUCCGGGCCAGCAGCGGCGGUAAACGGUAGGGGGCAAGCGUUUUCCGGAUUAAUUGGGUGUAAAGGGAGCGUAGACGGUUAAGUAAGUCGGGAGUGAAAGGCCGGGGCCCAACCCCGGGACUGCUUUGGAAACUUUUGAACUUGAGUCCAGGGGAGGUAAGCGGAAUUCCUAGUGUAGCGGUGAAAUGCGUAGAUAUUAGGAGGAACACCAGUGGCGAAGGCGGCUUACUGGACAGUAACUGACGGUGAGGCUCGAAAGCGUGGGGAGCAAACAGGAUUAGAUACCCUUGUAGUC
rnacentral:rRNA from 1 species